rnacentral:misc_RNA from 1 species
AACCUAGCACACCUGCGGUGUGUACCUGCGGAGGGAUCAUUACACAAAUUAAAAUAUGAAGGCUUCGGCUGGAUUAUUUUUAUCACCCUUGUCUUUUGCGCACUUGUUGUUUCCUGGGCGGGUUCGCCCGCCACCAGGACCACACCAUAAACCUUUUUUAUGCAGUUGCAAUCAGCGUCAGUAUAACAAAUGUAAAUCAUUUACAACUUUUAACAAUGGAUCUCAGAUCGGAAGAGCACA